GUAUAGUAGUGCGUGUGCACAACAGUAAUUUCAUUACAUUCGAGUUUGUGUAAAAUUCCUCUGCCGGCCGAAGCUAGCAAGAGGCCAGAGGUUCACAGGGUAUUGGAUGAAAGCCACCGACGUGCACUUGCCAGUUUCUGGCCAGCACAGAAGGCAACCAUUCGUAAUCAUUAAUGAUCCUUCCGCAGGUUCACCUACGGAAA
rnacentral:misc_RNA from 1 species